UUGUCUGCCCAGCACUGAGAGAAAGGAACCUUGAUCAUGAAGGAGGUUUUCCCAGGGUGAGGCUCAUCCAUUGCACUCCGGGUGUGCUGACCCCUGCGAUUUCCCCAAAUGCGGGAAACUCGACUGCAUAAUUUGUGCCUUCUCUGAGCAGUUAGUCUGGC